UCGUAACAAGGUCUCCGUUGGUGAACCAGCGGAGGGAUCAUUACUGAGUUACCGCUCUAUAACCCUUUGUGAACAUACCUACAACUGUUGCUUCGGCGGGUAGGCCGUCCCCUGAAAAGGACGCCUCCCGGCCGGGACCGGACCCCCCGUGGGGCCGGACCCGGCGCCCGCCGGAGGAUAACCAAACGCAAUUUUAACGACGUUUCUUCUGAGUGGCAUAAGCAAAAUAAUCAAAACUUUUAACAACGGAUCUCUUGGUUCUGGCAUCGAUGAAGAACGCAGCGAAAUGCGAUAAGUAAUGUGAAUUGCAGAAUUCAGUGAAUCAUCGAAUCUUUGAACGCACAUUGCGCCCGCCAGCAUUCUGGCGGGCAUGCCUGUUCGAGCGUCAUUUCAACCCUCAAGCUCUGCUUGGUGUUGGGGCUCUACGGUCAACGUAGGCCCUCAAAGGUAGUGGCGGACCCUCCCGGAGCCUCCUUUGCGUAGUAACAUUUCGUCUCGUACUGGGAUCCGGAGGGACUCUUGCCGUAAAACCCCCCAAUUUUUCAAGGUUGACCUCGGAUCAGGUAGGAAUACCCGCUGAACUUAAGCAUAUCAA
rnacentral:rRNA from 1 species